CCUACGGGUGGCAGCAGUGGGGAAUAUUGCACAAUGGGGGAAACCCUGAUGCAGCGACGCCGCGUGAGCGAAGAAGUAUUUCGGUAUGUAAAGCUCUAUCAGCAGGGAAGAAAAUGACGGUACCUGAGUAAGACGCUCCGGCUAAAUACGUGCCAGCAGCCGCGGUAAUACGUAUGGAGCAAGCGUUAUCCGGAUUUACUGGGCGUAAAGGGAGCGUAGGCGGCCUGCCAAGUCUGAUGUGACAUACCGGGGCUCAACACCGGGGCUGCAGUGGAAACUGGCAGGCGGGAGUGCCGGAGAGGCAGGCGGGAUGCUGAGGGGAGCGGUGAGAUGCGUAGAUAUUAGGAGGAACACCAGUGGCGAAGGCGGGCUGCUGGAGGGUGACUGACGCUGAGGCUCGAAAGCGUGGGGAGCAAACAGGAGUAGAUACCCGUGUAGUC
rnacentral:rRNA from 1 species